GUGUGAGGUUGUGCUGAUUGGCAU
rnacentral:piRNA from 1 species